rnacentral:rRNA from 1 species
UACGAAGGGUGCAAGCGUUACUCGGAAUUACUGGGCGUAAAGCGUGCGUAGGUGGUGAGUUAAGUCUGUCGUGAAAGCCCCGGGCUCAACCUGGAAUGGCGAUGGAUACUGGCUCGCUAGAGUGCGGUAGAGGGUGGUGGAAUUCCCGGUGUAGCAGUGAAAUGCGUAGAGAUCGGGAGGAACAUCAGUUGCGAAGGCGGCCACCUGGACCAGCACUGACACUGGGGCACGAAAGCGUGGGGAGCAAACAGG